GUUGAACGCUGGCGGCAGGCCUAACACAUGCAAGUCGAGCGGAUGAGGCGACCUUGCUCCUGGAUUCAGCGGCGGCCGGGUGAGUAAUGCCUAGGAAUCUGCCUGGUAGUGGGGGAUAACGUCCGGAAACGGUCGCUAAUAUCGCAUACGUCCUGAGGGAGAUAGUGCGAGAUCUUCGGACCUCACGCUAACAGUUGAGCCUAGGUCGGAUUAGCUAGUUGGUUUGGUAAAGGCCUACCCAGGCGACGAUCCGUAACUGGUCUGAGAGGAUGAUCAGUCACACUGGAACUGAGACACGGUCCAGACUACUACGGGAGGCAGCAGUGGGGAAUAUUGGACUAUGGGCGAAAGCCUGAUCCAGCCAUGCCGCGUGUGUGAAGAAGGUCCUGGGAUUGGAAAGCUCAUCAAGUUGGAAGGAAGGGCAGUAAGUUAAUACCGUGCUGUUUUGACGUUACCAAAAGAAUAAGCACCGGCUAACUUCGUG
rnacentral:rRNA from 1 species